CCUCCAAUUUCCCACUCAAUCCCCCUCCAAAUCGACCCCUUGAUGUAGAAAUCUAGGGUUUCGGACGAGUUUCCGCUUCCGAUUUUGAGCUUCCGAGCUCAAAACCCGCCCAAAAACCUCUUGCUCCUCCGGAGAAGUGGAGGCGGGGCGCUCCGAUGGUUUUGACGCGGUUCUCGUGGCCCUACGGGGGGCGGCACGUCGCCAUAUGCGGCUCCUUCACGAGGUUGGUGAUUUUGGUUCGUGGCUUGUGCUUAAUUUUGAGGUUUUGAUGGCUCGGCUUGGUGGAAUCGGGGUGAGAAGGUGUGAUCUUGUGGUUGCUUUUUUGUGUAGGUGGGUCGAUCAGUAUCAAAUGGCGCUCGUCGAGGGCUCGAUGGGGGAGUACCAGGCGAUUUUCGAUCUCCCCCCUGGGGUUUAUCAGGUGUGGCAACUGAUUUAGGUUUCAAAAGUUCGUAAUUUUGUGUUGCAUGCGAGUUUUGUUGAGUUAAUAAUGUGGGGAAGUGCUUCAAAGAGAAACAGGAAGCUCNUUUUUUACUUUUUAAAUGCCUUAAAUUUAAUGGGAAAGGCAAGAAUAACAUUUAAAACGUGAUAAUAAAUUCUAUUAUUCAUCUGCUAGUGAUAUAUAUAUAUAUAUAUAUAUAUAUAUAUAUAUAUAUAUAUAUAUAUAUAUAUAUAUUGAGAGAUAGGUACUGUAUAUAUUUUUCAACUACACAUUGGUUACAGUUUCAUCCACGCAAACACCAAAUAUAAUGUGCGGUGCAUAGUGUGUAUGUGAAAACACCCAUUGCACACAAUAAUUUAAGAUAUGUAGAGAAGAGAGAGAGAGAGAGAGAGUUGAGCUCGUAUACUUUUAAAAAUACAGAAGCUCAACAUAUUUGUAAUUUUUUAGCCGACGGAUUGCCUAAAAAUUUUUAUAAUAUUAUUAACCGUGUGUUUCAUUAAAUCUUCUUUAUUAAUAUUGUACGAAUAUUGAGAUUAUCCGAUGCUAAAAAAUCAUAACUAUGUUGAGCUCACAUAAGAUCAACUCUCUCUCUCUCUCUCUCUCUACCUCUCUCUCUCUCUCUAUAUAGUUUUUUUUUUUGCAAAUAGCUCUAUAAAAUUUAUAUUUACAAAAUUAGUUCAAUCUCUGCCAUGUAAGCGCGAUGCUGAAAGUUUAAGUUGAAUAAGAUGAAUGAUUUAUCAUAUUCAAAUACGGUGAAUAAUUUUUCGUAUUCAAGCGUUAUCUAUAACCCCUACGCAUGAUCUCUCUUUUCCCCUCACUCUCCUCGAGCUUUUCCCAUCUCUCUCUGUGCCCCCCUUGAGCUCUCUGCGGCUGCUGUCCGUCGCCCACUGCUUCCUCUCUCCUCCUCCACCGUCCUUCAUGGUAGUUUUUUUCAUGACCUCAAAGGUCUCAUAGGAGACCCAGUAUUACCAUACAUCCACGGUGACUUGACAGUAGAAGGGAUAGAAGAGGAUUACGCUGAAUCAUUCACUGUGUUUGUGACAAAGAUAUGACCAAUUUUGUAAAUAUAUAUUUUAUAAGGUUAUUUGCAAAAAAAAAAUUUGUUAAGAGAUAAAAAAAAACCCUAUAUAUAAAUAUUAUUUUUUAUUUAUAUUAUUAAUAUUUUUACUGUAUUAAAAUUAUUUUAUUGUUUUUAUUAUAUUCUAUGGUUUUUUACCGCGCGACUCACCACGGAUCCUUCCCUCCUCUCUCUCUCUCUCUCUCUCUCUCUCCUCCCUCAUCUCUCUCUCUCUCCUCUCUCUCUCUCUCUCUCUCUCUCUCUUCUCGGCGGAGACUUCGAUAGAUUCGAUGCGAUUGCCCCUCGCUCCGCCCAUCUCUCUCCAAUUUCCCACUCAAUCCCCCUCCAAAUCAACCCCUUGAUGUAGAAAUCUAGGGUUUCGGACGAGUUUCCGCUUCCGAUUUUGAGCUUCCGAGCUCAAAACCCGCCCAAAAACCUCUUGCUCCUCCGGAGAAGUGGAGGCGGGGCGCUUCGAUGGUUUUGACGCGGUUCUCGUGGCCCUACGGGGGGCGGCACGUCGCCAUAUGCGGCUCCUUCACGAG
rnacentral:lncRNA from 1 species